AAUCAACGCUGGCGGCGUGCCUCAGACAUGCAAGUCGAACGAUUAAGACUCCCUUCGGGGAGUGCAUAAAGUGGCGCACGGGUGAGUAACACGUAAGUAAUCUACCUUCGAGUGGGGAAUAACAACCGGAAACGGUUGCUAAUACCGCAUAACGCAGCGGCACCUAAUGGUGACAGUUGUUAAAGGAGCAAUUCGCUUGAAGAGGAGCUUGCGGCAGAUUAGCUAGUUGGUAGGGUAAUGGCUUACCAAGGCUUCGAUCUGUAUCCGGUCUAAGAGGACGGUCGGACACACUGACACUGAAUAACGGGUCAGACUCCUACGGGAGGCAGCAGUCGGGAAUUUUGGGCAAUGGGCGAAAGCCUGACCCAGCAACGCCGCGUGAAGGAUGAAGUAUUUCGGUAUGUAAACUUCGAAAGAAUGGGAAGAACUCAAUGACGGUACCAUUUAUAAGGUCCGGCUAACUACGUGCCAGCCGCCGCGGUAACAC
rnacentral:rRNA from 1 species